rnacentral:misc_RNA from 1 species
AAGAAGCCCUAGACUCGUUUCGUUAUCGUUCGAUUCCAUUUUUUGUUUUUCCCAUGCUCGAUUGCGCAUAAAUCAAAUCCCAAACUUUUCUUCUUAACCAAACAAGAUUUAGCUAGGUUUCGAUUAUUCUAGAACCGCAUGCUUUUUUACCCAAUUAUGCUCGAUUUGCUCUUUUGAAAACUCAAUGAGGUUUUGACCGGAUGAAUCAAUCAGUCGGGGGUUUAGGUGGUCAAGCUUCAUUAUCAGCCUUAUAAGCUUUAGGGUUUAAUUAACAAUGAC